AUUAAAAGAGUUUCGAGAGCUAGAAGGUAAAAUUAUCAUUUUAUAUAAUAUGUAGUAUUACUUGUUUUCGGUAAUGCAAGAUAUACGACCCCCUCUUGUUACUAUUUUCGGUGUAAUCAUGCUCAAUUUGUAAUGUUAUAUUAACGGCUAGAUUACAUUGCGGAUAAACUAAACACAGUAAUCCUAACAAGAUUACUUGUAAUCCUGUCAGGAUAACUCGAACCAAUCGCACCCUGAAAGUAAUAUUCUAACUUACCUUAGUA
rnacentral:lncRNA from 1 species